CUGGCUUAUCCAAAACGAUACCCAGGAGAGCACAACCAAGAGAAUUGAUGCUUCAGUACAUGCUGUGAAGCACUGCAGAACUAUCAGAAAAAGAGCAAAUGAUGGAAAGUUUUGUAUUUUUCAAGUGGAAAACUCCACUUACAAAGAACAAGCUCAGCUAGGCAAGUUGCACAUACUUGGCAAAAGAUAUGUGAGUAUGCAACUGCUUGAAUCUCAGGUGAG
rnacentral:lncRNA from 1 species